rnacentral:rRNA from 1 species
UGAUCUGAGUUCAAACCGGCGUGAGCCAGGUUGGUUUCUAUCUUUAUUGAGUUGAAGUAUUUUAGUACGAAAGGACCAAAUACUUGAAUUAUAAUUUUUUAAGUUGAAUUUUAAUAAUUU